AAAAGUAAACAUGAAGCAUGAAUUUAUUUUUCCAAAUCCAGUGCAUGUACGAGAGUACGGGAGUUUUUUUCUUAAACGUGGGGAUUUCCAUUUACUGCAGCAAUAGUGUAUGAAAAAUACACGUUUACUUAAAUCUUCUUGUAUUUUAUCAUUACGUUUAUAUGUAGAAAAAAAAAUAGAAUAGCAUAUAUUUUGCAAAAAAAUUGAUAAUAAUGUGGUAUGAAAUUCUAUUAGAAAACUUGAUGAUUCCUUUUCAAAAAUGUGUAUAACUGUAUUAUUUGUUUUACUUUGUAUCAUAAUUGAUUGUGUAUAACAAAAAACAUGCAUGUACAUGUAAGUAAUAUCAGUAUAAGGUUUAUGUCUCGAAGGAACAUUAUGUUAUGAUACUGUUUAUUAAUAAAGUGCUACUUGUC
rnacentral:misc_RNA from 1 species